rnacentral:sRNA from 25 species
GUUAGUAACUCAGCCCUAAAAAGGACUGAGCUUGUAAGAAAUUGCAAGCUGUACUGACCAGUCUAAGUCUUAACUGACUACGUUUUUUGAGUCACGACACCCACCGAAUGCGUAGCCCCUUCGGGGUUCAGCAGUCGCUCAUGGGGGAAACCCCCAAGACCGCGCUGCUUCACUAGUUCCCUGCUCUGUC